CUUAGGAAUGCCUCCUCCUGCUGCUCACACUGCACCACAAAGAUCCUGUAGACCUCCAGCAGGACAACAAGAAUGUUCUUGCAGAUUUUCCACUCGGGCUAUGACUCCAAGACAAGACAAGAUAAUGAAGAUGGUGCAAAAAUGGAGGUGCCGCUAUUGAUGUCAGA